rnacentral:ribozyme from 14 species
AAGUGGCAAGAAAGGAAAUCACCAAAAGGAAUCUUUUCCUCCAAUCAAUUUUUCAUGAUGAAAGGUUGUAUUGUAUUAGUUUUUUUUUUUUUUUUUUUUUAAAGUCAUUUAUUUGUAACUUGCUG